UUUCUCCAUCGUCCGGCGUGAGCAGCAAACAGGCCUGCAACAAGUGUGAAUACAUGGCUGGUAAGGACAUGAGGAGGAAACAGUAGGAGCUGUGUGAAGCUACUAAAGGCAGUGGAUCCCUCAGCAGCUGGAUUACAAAGAGCACAGUCUCAGAUCAACACAGCCCUGCCCUCCAGCACUAUCAGCAGCAGGAGCAGCAGCAACCCCUCAACAGCAACAUUGUACCCAUCAGGAAAAUUUCUCUAGAUCCACCCCUGGACCUGUCCUGGACCAGCAACACCAAAUCAGUGACAAAAAGAGCUCAGCAGCGACUGCAAUUCAAGAGACGACUGAAGAAGGUCCACAUCCCCAAACCCAUCUUUAACACCUUCUACAGAGGUACCAUACAGAGCAUCCUAACCCGCUAUUUACACCUCACGCUGCACUGGGAAAGCCACAAGCAUCAUAGCCGACCCGCAUCACCUUUCCCACCAACUGUUUACCACCCCUUAAUCCAGAAGAUGACUCUGCGUCAUCAGGAGCAGGUGGGCAAGAUUGUGCAAUAGGAUUUUCCCCCAAAGCAAUCCGGCUCCUGAACACCAUGCUGCGCUCCUCCACACUGAACUCUCUUCUCCACACACUUCUUGGACUACAUAACACUCUCCUUUCACAACCAAUUCUUACACUACCCUGUAUUGUACUGAUCGACUCUGUCUGUUGUCUUUAUUUAUUCUCAUUGUUUUCUAUUCUUACUCUCUCUGUAUUCAAGUACAAUACUGUUGUACUUACUCUUAGAUUAUCUUAUUUCUGUAUAGUUGUAAGUAUGUAUGUAUAUUUGAAUUUUCCCAUUUUAUUUUUACACUUUGCACCUUUGAUCCAGGACAAUGAUAUUUCAUCGCACUGUAUACUUGAGUGCAUGUUGUUGGGUUGACAAUAAAACUCUGCUUGACUUGAAUUAAACUUGUGCAUUAGCGAAUGAGGAAAUGAGCCUCUACAGGCCUCAGACAGC
ensembl:lncRNA